AUACGGCGGAUCCGAGCGUUAUCCGGAUUUAUUGGGUUUAAAGGGUGCGCAGGCGGCCAUUUAAGUCAGCGGUUAAAUCGUGGGGCUCAACCCCAUUCUGCCGUUGAUACUGGGUGGCUUGAUUGCGGUCGAGGUUGGCGGAAUUCGUUGUGUAGCGGUGAAAUGCAUAGAUAUGACGAAGAACACCGAUUGCGUAGGCAGCUGACCAGACCGCAAAUGACGCUCAUGCACGAAAGUGCGGGGAUCGAACAGGAUUAGAUACCCUGGUAGUCCGCACAGUAAACGAUGAAUACUUGUUUUCGGCGAUAUAAUGUCGGAGGCAAAGCGAAAGCGAUAAGUAUUCCACCUGGGGAGUACGCCGGCAACGGUGAAACUUAAAGGAAUUGACGGGG
rnacentral:rRNA from 1 species